rnacentral:lncRNA from 1 species
CGCCACACCCCACCACGCCCCACACAGCUUCACACCCUGUGUCUCAGCUCCUGAAAGUCAAUGACAUCCUGCCCCCUGUGCCAGGCCCAACAGGGCACAGAAAUGUGUCUUUGAGAGUUUGGUGCCUCAGGGGAAGUUACAUGUUCUCAUUCCAUUGUCAUCACCAGAGGAGACCAGAACCCCAAAGAGAGUGGCUACAGCAUCCCCAGAAACUUCUAGAAAGCUUUAGCAAGGAUCCCAAGGCUUCCACGUUCAACACUUAUGGAGGUAGGGAGAGGGUCCUAACCCAGAAGUUGGGCUUUCAAUUUCAAUCUCUUUCUCCUCAAAGCACUCAAAGCACCAGAAACUGCAUCUAGUAGGUUCUCAAACACACCCCAGCCCCAUCUCUCCUUACAGGCCCCCAAGCGUCAAGGACAGAUAUGCAGGAUUCCACAGAAUGGAUCAGAUGCAGAUGCUCAGACAUAAGGAACUGAAGAUAGGGAUGAGCCUGCGCAGGGUCUGGUCCAUCACAGGAGCGUCCGAUCAGACCCAACCUCUCUGUAGUCCCUAAGUGGGUGCCUGACAGCAGUCCCGCAGCUCCUCGCCUCGGCCUCCUCAAUGGAGCUUUUAAAAAGCUGGCCACCAUCCUCGGAGGGUCAACCACUUCUCUGGGGACACUUUGUCCCCGCCCUGUCCAGGCUCCCACAGAGCCUCAGGCCUGUGUCCCAGCCCUGCCACCCUCCUGGGACCCCUAUCUUCCUCCCUCUGCGUCGCCUUGUCAGCUGGAGUCCAGCUGGCAAGCAGGCUGUGCUGUGGGUCUGGCCAAGGCUUGAAGGAGGAGGAAUUUCUUCUCCACAUCCCGCUCUUGUUCACACAGCCCAGAGACCUGGAUUCAGAAUGCAGGCCAGGGAGGAGAUUCCAGAGUCCGGAUCCAGGUGGAAUGGAGGCCACAUUCACAGAGCGGGGGGUGGAGGGGGGCUGCUCUCCUCCCCCCCCCCCCCCCCCCCCCACGUAGAAGCAAGAAAAGAACGGAAAACUUCCCAGAGGCAUCCAGCAAAGGUGUCAAGGAAACAAGAGAGCAGGUCACAGCCACCAGCUCCCUGGGGACAGGCUCCGAACACAGGUCUCUGACCCGUGAGAGGCAGGAAGUUCCUCCUGAUACCUAACCUCCAUCCCCACUGGCAAAUUCCAGACCGUUUUCCUCUUGGACUGCCCUGCCUGGGGAAGAACAGCUGGGUCCCUCUCUGCACAAUAAAUGCCUUCAGACCCUGGCGACUCAUUAUUCAAGCCCCCAUCCCCUCCCCACCCCCACCCCUCUCUAGUGCGCAGGCUGAGAACCCCGGGUCCUCUGGGCCCCUUUCCAAAUGACUUCCAUCACCACCCAGCAGCUGACGUGAUAAACGGUGUGUGGGGGAGGGAUGGGAAAGACCUGGAGUGAUGGUGGGUAUUGAUCCAUCGGUGAGCGGGAGGCCUGCACUGCCUCCUGGGG